rnacentral:snRNA from 1 species
GGAUGUGAGGGCGAUCUGGCUGCGACAUUGGUCACCCCAUUGAUCGCCGGGGUUGAUUUGGCUGAUCUGGCUGGCUUGGCGGGCGUGCCCUUCCUCCCUCACUGCUCCGUGUGCGUCCCUCCCGAAGCUGCGCACUUGGUCCAAGAGGACGACCGUCCCUGCUGGAGGAGGACCGGUCCUCGCUCAAGGGUAGCUGUGCUGCCCUGCUAGAACCUCCACACAAGCUCUCAAGGUCCAAAAAUAUACUUGAGCCCAUGCAAAUGCCAGCUCUCCAGGCAUACAGAGUGCUUCUGCCCGUCCAA